rnacentral:rRNA from 1 species
AUACGUAGGUGGCAAGCGUUGUCCGGAUUUACUGGGUGUAAAGGGCGUGUAGGCGGAGAUGCAAGUCAGGAGUGAAAUCUAGGGGCUCAACCCCUAAACUGCUUUUGAAACUGUAUCCCUUGAGUAUCGGAGAGGCAGGCGGAAUUCCUAGUGUAGCGGUGAAAUGCGUAGAUAUUAGGAGGAACACCAGUGGCGAAGGCGGCCUGCUGGACGACAACUGACGCUGAGGCGCGAAAGCGUGGGGAGCAAACAGGAUUAGAUACCCUAGUAGUCCACGCCGUAAACGAUGAGUACUAAGUGUCGGGUAACCGGUGCUGAAGUUAACACAUUAAGUACUCCGCCUGAGUAGUACGGUCGCAAGGCUGAAACUCAAAUGAAUUGACGGGG